rnacentral:rRNA from 1 species
UACGGAGGACCCGAGCGUUAUCCGGAUUUAUUGGGUUUAAAGGGUGCGCAGGCGGACUAGUAAGUCAGUGGUGAAAGCCUACCGCUUAACGGUAGAACUGCCAUUGAUACUGCUGGUCUUGAGUACGGUUGAGGUGGGCGGAAUGUGUCAUGUAGCGGUGAAAUGCUUAGAUAUGACACAGAACACCAAUUGCGAAGGCAGCUCGCUAAACCGUAACUGACGCUGAGGCACGAAAGCGUGGGGAGCAAACAGGAUUAGAUACCCCCGUAGUCC